GAUAACACUUAGUAAUCGUACAACUACAUGCUCUGUCCUCUUUUAUAGAUUCAAUUUUUUCUCUCACGUAUAUGAUUUUGCAGAGAGGACGACCAAGUAGAUCCCCAGAAGUAGAUCAGCCUCCUUACAAACAACCUUCCUCUCAUUCCACCUGGGAACUUUUAAACGCCGUCUAUGACCUAGCAAUUGAGAAUGAAGAUUCUCCCGUCGACCCCUUUCUUCGAUUAUUCAAUGCAUGACACCCUGCGAAUCAUUAAAUAGUAGUUAAUGAGACUUGCUUUCUACAGCAAAGUCUUUGAGCGCAUGCAAUCAUGAGCAUUUGAAUGAUCUCAAAGAUUGGAAACAAUUCCAAGAACAUUGAUGGUACCAAUGGAAUUGGAACCUAGAAAAAUCCUUUAUGAGCAAACAAUAUUACUGCUGAACAUUCUUUCUUUAGUUAAAGGUGAACAGUAUAUAUACUGCUUGCACCUUACAGUAGUUAUGCUUGAAAAGGACACAAAUUUGGUUUAUAUUUUUGGGAAACUAUUUAAAUGUUCAGUUAAAUCUUAGUUAGCUCUAAAGAAUCAUUGAUAUUUUAACAUAGUUUGCCAUAUGACACAAAUUAAUUUGUGUAUGGCUGCAAAUUUGGUGAAAUACAAUGAUAUAAUGAUAAAUGGGUAAAAACCACUCUAUGC